ACAAUAGAGGAGGAAGCGAAAGCUAAGAAAAUUAAUAUCACCGUAAGCAGUCUGCAUAUCCCAUUGAUUUCCUCCUUUAAUCCCAGCGGUUUGAUGGACAUAUAGCAUAUAGAAACAUCGUCUGAAAGCUGCAACCAAAUCUGAUUCGUCUUCCCAAAUCAGAGCUCCUGUAUAACAGACUCCAAAGUUUUAAAGUUCGAGAUUGUCUAACAAAAUCUCCUCUUUAUCACGCUCCGACAAACCAGACCCAGGUUGUGAUGUCAGUCGGCCAUGGUUAAACAAUAACGUUUUGAGCAGUAGCAGCACUCAAGUUGUAAAUGCCCCAAAAGAUCCUUUGAGAAAGAUGGCCCGAAGGAACAUGAUGUGGUUGUGCAAAUCCAAGCUUCUUACACUCAAUAUGAAAGGUGAGGUGAACAGGCUGAGGCACACACUC